rnacentral:tRNA from 2 species
GCCGCCCUAGCUCAACUGGUAGAGCACCCGACUUGUAAUCGGAAGGUUGUCGGUUCAAUUCCGAUGGGCGGCUCCA